ACAUGCUUCUGCAUUUCAGAUUUCAUGUUCAUAUGUCGGUAGUCUUUUAGAUGGGAUCGAUGCAUGCAUUCUUCGAGGUAAGAAACUUUAAAAAUUAUGUCACUCCAAUUCUGAGUUUUUUUAUUUUAUUUUUCUCUUGCGGGUCUUUUUACCUGCUAAUUUGAAAUGCAUGAUUACAUUUACAUCGUACAAUUUACAUGUCACGUUUCGGAUUUACGAGUAUAUAUGAAAGAAAGGCUUUUUUUUUUUUUUUUUUUGCGAGUUCAAGAAUUUGAUUGGUUUUUCCUUUAGAGCCAGUAAUCAUCAUAAUUUUACCUGGCUGUGUAAGGACUAGAAGGGAUCCACCGCUCUUCGAUCUGUGUCUUCCCGCUCCAACUCCAUCGCUCCCGCUAGAACUUGCAGCAACGCCCUGAACUGCGGCGACGUAUUGCUCAUCAAGAAGACAAGCAUGAAAGAAAGGCAAAAUGAGCUUUGGAAAUCAAAUGAUAACAGCUGUACAGCAUCAGACCUUCAUCUGCUAUUGUAUUACGGUCUCAACAAGUGACGUGGGAGGGACGACAUAUGAUAGCGCCACGGUUGCUGGAAUAAGAAAGGGGCCAGCUGCUGUGUCCCAUGCAAUGAUUGUGCAGGUGACAGCGAAGUAAUUCUUACUUUUACCAUAAACAAAGUGCAACUCGAAUGGUUACUGAAAAACAGUUGCUGACUGACCUAGGUAUUACCUGGUCGACGCGGUGGCAUUCAAGAAGCUGAAACCUCUCACAAUCGCUUCGCUCAGUCUCACCGUAUUCAGGAAAAAAUGGAAGCUUACAAUUUUUUUUUUUCCUUUUCAGAAGUAGCAAUGACGGUUUUACUGUCCAGGUCCAGAGAACCGCAGCCAUAUGCAAGAAAUCCCCUUCUGGCUGACUCCCUGCUUUCCAGAUUCACCCAAGAAGUUAGUCUAAAGAAAAUUGCUAGUCUCUUUCAAGAUUACCCAAUGACUCGAGGCGGCUAGUUAUAUGGAACAAAAUCGAACGUCAUCUGGCUAGUUAUAUACAACAAAAUUGAACACCAUCUUGCAUUAUUUUAGCCAAGUUAGUAAUUGGUGACAAGAAGAACAAAGUGCAGUGAUAUCUCAUUUUUCCUCUUCUCUUUGGAAUAGGCUGGUUUCCUUCAGAUGUACAGCUGUGCAAGAACAGGAGUUUUUUUUUCUCUUGUUGCUUUUUAUGGUCUGCUUGUUUUGAUGAGCAGGCAACCGCAAUGAAACGAAAUGUCGUGAUAUUUUGAGAAGCAGCAGCAGAUGUAUAGACAUAUCUUUCGUACAACCAAUCUUCACGACGGAAAGGAAGAACCAUGAUGACAUUUAGUGCAUAAAAAAAAAAAAACAAAACAAAAAAAGGAGACUUGCGCUGUAGCAUGGAGUGCUUACGAUCAGCGGCGACGAAUGAUGAAUAAUGAUUUUCAUUUAGUAAAAAGGAGAAAUAAAAUUCAUAUAGAAAAGACGUGUAUUCACAUUCGUUUAUAAGGGAGUUAACGCCGAAUCACUAUUGAUAAAGCAGCUUGGCAGUUGUGGGCGCUAUUCGAUCCCUAAUUAUUAGCUGCAAAAUGAUAAGCAAAUUCUAAUGCUGUGCCUACCAAAAAAAAAAAA